UUGAUACAAAUUGGCUAGAGAUUUGCCACAAGUCUUGCUAGCCGCUUUCUUAGCUUCUCUCUUAUAGCCAACUUGUAUUUCUCAAAGGCUGCCUCAUCAUCUUGUAACUUUUUAUACCAUUUUCUUUUCAUUUUAAUAGCCUUUUGAACCUCCUCAGUCCAUCACCAAGAAUCUUGUGGGCAUGGUCCUCUAUCUUUGGGUACACCGAGUAUGUUCGUUCAUUGCUACUUUCUUAAUGCAGUUGGCCAUCACUCUCUGCAAUAUCAACAUUAUUGCCUAAAUUCCAUACACCUUUUAUUAAUAGUUUCUCCUUAAAAGCUAUUUGCUUCGUAUUCAUGAGAAUUGAUUGAGUUUUACUGCAGCCGUUAACCUACCUCAACCCUCUUCUCCUCGAGCUUGGGAUCAAUUAUGUUUUGCUAAGCUUG
rnacentral:misc_RNA from 1 species